rnacentral:rRNA from 1 species
GAUGAACGCUGGCGGCGUGCUUAACACAUGCAAGUCGAACGAAGCUGCUUAACUGAUCUUCUUCGGAAUUGACGUUUUGUAGACUGAGUGGCGGACGGGUGAGUAACGCGUGGGUAACCUACCCUGUACAGGGGGAUAACAGUCAGAAAUGACUGCUAAUACCGCAUAAGACCACAGCACCGCAUGGUGCAGGGGUAAAAACUCCGGUGGUACAGGAUGGACCCGCGUCUGAUUAGCUGGUUGGUGAGGUAACGGCUCACCAAGGCGACGAUCAGUAGCCGGCUUGAGAGAGUGAACGGCCACAUUGGGACUGAGACACGGCCCAAACUCCUACGGGAGGCAGCAGUGGGGAAUAUUGCACAAUGGGGGAAACCCUGAUGCAGCGACGCCGCGUGAGUGAAGAAGUAUCUCGGUAUGUAAAGCUCUAUCAGCAGGGAAGAAAAUGACGGUACCUGACUAAGAAG